AUGUUAGCAGCAUGGACACUAAAGCUGGAAUCAAGCAGAGAAGAUCUGCAUGCCCCUGGGCGAGGAAGACAUGCACCUUUGCAAAGCAUUCCACGUUUUC
ensembl:snRNA U6 U6 spliceosomal RNA